GGGGAAUAUUGGACAAUGGGCGAAAGCCCGAUCCAGCAAUGCCGCGUGAGUGAUGAAGGCCUUAGGGUUGUAAAGCUCUUUUACCCGGGAUGAUAAUGACAGUACCGGGAGAAUAAGCUCCGGCUAACUCCGUGCCAGCAGCCGCGGUAAUACGGAGGGAGCUAGCGUUAUUCGGAAUUACUGGGCGUAAAGCGCACGUAGGCGGCUUUGUAAGUUAGAGGUGAAAGCCUGGUGCUCAACACCAGAACUGCCUUUGAUACUGCAUCGCUUGAAUCCAGGAGAGGUGAGUGGAAUUCCGAGUGUAGAGGUGAAAUUCGUAGAUAUUCGGAAGUACACCAGUGGCGAAGGCGGCUCACUGGACUGGUAUUGACGCUGAGGUGCGAAAGCGUGGGGAGCAAAC
rnacentral:rRNA from 1 species